ensembl:lncRNA
CCUGGCAGGACUGCAGAAUUCCCCCUUCCCUGGCACAAUUGGCUCUGGGAACUAUUUCCUUCUCCGUGCUGUGAGGUAGACAGAAUAGGCAGAAGUUUCGGGUUUCUUUGGGUGAUGGUUGGGCAAAAGGGAUUUGGGUCCCCAACAAAAGGACACAGGAUUUAAGCUCAGGGGUUUGUAUCUCACACCAGAGAAAGCCUUUGGCUAUUACAGGGAAACUGGUGACUACAGCUGUAUCUCAGGAGCCACCAGGAUUUGCAUAGCAACAACAGCAGUCGCCAGCUACCGCAUCACAGCCCCAGUUGCUAAUGGAAGGGAGCACCACAGCUCAAAAACUUUCAAAGAAAGAAGCUCAUCUCUGCCAGUUCUGGAGCUGUGAAGCCCAGUUCCAAGAAGCCAGCGUUCGCCCGGAAUCUGCCCGUGCAUCGUGUCCUGGGGGAGAUGUCACACGACCAGAGCUCAGGCACAGACAGACAGCAUCUUCAAAGCAACAACUUAAAACUGUAGGAAGAAAUCCUAACUCUGGAAGACAUUCUAAUACCAAAAGGAGAAAUAAAGCUACUGACCUGGGGGAAGACAUGGAGGUGAUGCACGCUGAGGCUCUGGACUCCUGGAUGCCUUUAAAUUCAAGUAGACCUUUGAUGUGUCCAUUGCAGAUGGGAGACGUGACAGUGAACCUGUGAGCUGGGACAAACUCCAAGUUGUGUGAGGUGAAAUGAGCAAAGGGAAGUCCCCUGUGAACACUCUGCUGUGUGUCCACACCCACCCACACUGGUAGCUGAGAGUUUCUCCAUAGUUUCUGACCUUGGUGUCUGUCCUGCUCACACAGCCUACACACAACUAUCUUUUUUUCUUUUUCUUUAUUCCUCACUCAUACAACACAUCCCAACUGCAGCCUUUCUCCCUCUCCUCCUCCCAGUUCACCCCACCUUCUGUCUCCCCCAGACCCACUUUUCUUCCAUUUCCCUUCAGAAAGGAGCAGACCUUCCAGGGAUAUCAACCAAACACAGGAUAACAAGAUGCAGUAAGACUAGGCACAGACCCUCACAUCAAGGCUUGUUGAGGCAACCCAGUGGGAGGAAAAGGGUCCCGUGAGCAGGCAAAAGAGUCAGAGACACCCCCAGCUCCCACUGUUAGGAGUCCCACAGAAAAACCCUAAGCUAAAUAACCACAGCAUGUAUACAGAGGACCUAGUGUAGACUUAUGCAGGCUCCUUGAUUGUACGUCAGUUUGUGUGAGCCCUUGUGAGCCCUGCUUAGCUGAUUCUGUGGGCCGUGUCCUCCUGGUGUCCUCUACCCCUCUGGCUCCUACCAUCCUUUCUCCCAUCUUUCCUGGGGUUCCUGGCACUCCACCUAACCUUUGGCCAAGCCUGUUGGUGAACUUGAAGUUGCUAUACAGCUAUUGGGAAUGCAAAACGUCCAAGCUGUGGAAGACAGUAAACAGCUAAGCACAAAGGCCUGGGGAAAGAUAAAAAUGUUGGGAGUGUCUGUGCCCUGGUGGCUUGAGAGGAGCUCAUGACGGGGAGGGGAAGAAGGAAGGUGAAGGAGGAGCAGUUGGGAAAGAGCGCCAGAUACGACAAGGAGGAAGCUAGUUCUUUAUGUUAAAUGUAGUGCAACAAGCCAGAGAAGGUAAACACGUGUAGGAUGUGGCAGGUGGUAUAGACCCUGUGUAGGAUGUGGCAGGUGGUAUAGACCCUAUGUAGGAUGUGGCAGGUGGUAUAGACCCUGUGUAGGAUGUGUGGCAGGUGGUAUAGACCCUAUGUAGGAUGUGGCAGGUGGUAUAGACCCUAUGUAGGAUGUGGCAG